rnacentral:rRNA from 1 species
AUGGUAGGAUAGAGGCCUACCAUGGUGGUAACGGGUAACGGGGUGUUAGGGCACGACACCGGAGAGGGAGCCUGAGAAACGGCUACCACAUCCAAGGAAGGCAGCAGGCGCGCAAAUUACCCAAUCCCGACACGGGGAGGUAGUGACAAUAAAUAACAAUACAGGGUUCUUUGAAUCUUGUAAUUGGAAUGAGUACAAUUUAAAUCUCUUAACGAGGAACAAUUGGAGGGCAAGCCUGGUGCCAGCAGCCGCGGUAAUUCCAGCUCCAAUAGCGUAUAUUAAAGUUGUUGCAGUUAAAAAGCUCGUAGUUGAAUUUCGGGAUCAAUACGUCGGUCGUGCUUUCGGGUACGUACUGGCGUCAUUGGUUUCUCCUUUCUGACGAACCAUGAUGUCAUUAAUUUGGUGUUAUGGGGAGUUAGGACUGUUACUUUGAAAAAAUUAGAGUGUUUAAAGCAGGCAUUAGCUUGAAUACAUUAGCAUGGAAUAAUGAAAUAGGACGUUCGAUCCUAUUUUGUUGGUUUCUAGGAUCAACGUAAUGAUUAAUAGGGAUAGUUGGGGGCAUUAGUAUUCAAUUGUCAGAGGUGAAAUUCUUGGAUUUAUUGAAGACUAACUACUGCGAAAGCAUUUGCCAAGGAUGUUUUCAUUAAUCAAGAACGAAAGUUAGGGGAUCGAAGACGAUCAGAUACCGUCGUAGUCUUAACCAUAAACUAUGCCGACUAGGGAUCGGAUGAUGUUAAUUUUUUAAUGACUCAUUCGGCGCCUUACGGGAAACCAAAGUGUUUGGG